rnacentral:rRNA from 1 species
CAUCCUCCAAGGCUAAAUACUCCUGACUGACCGAUAGUGAACCAGUACCGUGAGGGAAAGGCGAAAAGAACCCCGGCGAGGGGAGUGAAAAAGAACCUGAAACCGUGUACGUACAAGCAGUGGGAGCCCCACCACUAAGCCAGUGGUGAACUCCACAUACGCAUCCUUUGCUGAGGAUACGGUUAACGGAGCGAAAGCGACGUUCAACCGCAAAAGAAGCAGAGGGGGCUUAGUGGUGGGGUGACUGCGUACCUUUUGUAUAAUGGGUCAGCGACUUAUAUUCUGUAGCAAGGUUAACCGUAUAGGGGAGCCGGAGGGAAACCGAGUCUUAACCGGGCGUUAAGUUGCAGGGUAUAGACCCGAAACCCGGUGAUCUAGCCAUGGGCAGGUUGAAGGUUGGGUAACACUAACUGGAGGACCGAACCGAC